AACAUCGCCUCUUGCUAAACCGAAAGUUUAAGAGGUCCCGCCUGCCCUGUGACUAUAUGUUUAACGGCCGCGGUAUUUUGACCGUGCGAAGGUAGCGCAAUCACUUGUCUUUUAAAUGGAGACCUGUAUGAAUGGCAUAACGAGGGCUUGACUGUCUCCUCUUUCAAGUCAAUGAAAUUGAUCUCCCCGUGCAGAAGCGAGGAUAAAUACAUAAGACGAGAAGACCCUAUGAAGCUUUAGACACUAAAGCAGAUCAUCAUUAAAAUCCUUCAACAAAAAGAGACAUAAACCGCCGAACCCUGCCCUAAUGUCUUAGGUUGGGGCGACCGCGGAGAAAUAAAAACCCUCCACAAGGACCAAAUGUACUACAUUCACAACCAAGAGCAACAGCUCUAAGUAACAGAACUUCUGACCAAUAUAGAUCCGGCAAUGCCGAUUAAUGAACCAAGUUACUCUAGGGAUAACAGCGCAAUCUCCUCUUAGAGUCCAUAUCGACGAGGGGGUUUACGACCUCGAUGUUGGAUCAGGGCAUCCUAAUGGUGCAGCCGCUAUUAAGGGUUCGUUUGUUCAACGAUUAAAGCCCUACGUGAUCUGAGUUCA
rnacentral:rRNA from 1 species